AAUAAACGUUUGCGGUGCGCCUUAUGCAUGCAAGUCGUACGAGGUUAUAAUACUUGUAUUGUAACCUAGUGGCGAAUGGCUGAGUAAUACGCAAGUAACUUACCUCGGAGUGGGGGAUAAUCUGCUGAAAGGCAAGCUAAUACCGCAUGUUAAUAGUUGGGUGAUGCUCAACUAUUAAAGAUUUAAAGCGCUCUGAGAAAGGCUUGCGUCCGAUUAGCUAGUUGGUGGGGUAAUGGCCUACCAAGGCAACGAUCGGUAGCUGGUCUGAGAGGAUGUCCAGCCAGAUGGGGACUGAGACACGGCCCCAACUCCUACGGGAGGCAGCAGCAAGGAAUAUUGUGCAAUGGGCGAAAGCCUGACACAGCGACGCCGCGUGGGGGAUGAAGGCUUUCGGGUUGUAAACCCCUUUUCUCAGGGAAGAAUAAUGACGGUACCUGAGGAAUAAGUCACGGCUAACUACGUGCCAGCAGCCGCGGUAAUACGUAGGUGGCGAGCGUUAUCCGGAUUUACUGGGUGUAAAGAGGGUGCAGGCGGCUUUUCAAGUCGAAUAUAAAAUCUCCCGGCUUAACUGGGAGGGACUAUUCGAUACUGUUGGGCUAGAGGACAGCAGGGGGAGGUGGAAUUCCCGGUGUAGUGGUGAAAUGCGUAGAUAUCGGGAGGAACACCAGUGGCGAAGGCGGCCUCCUGGGCUGUUGCUGACGCUGAGGCCCGAAGGCGUGGGGAGCAAACAGGAUUAGAUACCCUGGUAGUCCACGCUAUAAACUAUGGACACUAGGUAUAGGGAGUAUCGACCCUCUUUGUGCCGAAGCUAACGCUUUAACGUGUCCCACCUGGGGAGUACGGUCGCAAGGCUAAAACUCAAAGGAAUUGACGG
rnacentral:rRNA from 1 species